AACGAACGCUGGCGGCGUGCCUAACACAUGCAAGUCGUGCGAGAAAGUUCCUUCGGGAGCGAGUAAAGCGGCGCACGGGUGAGUAACACGUAGGUAACCUGCCCCCCAGUCUGGAACAACUAGAGGAAACUCUAGCUAAUGCCGGAUGAGACCACGAUCCCUUCGGGGGUUGCGGCCAAAGAUGGCCUCUACUUGUAAGCUAUCGCUGAGGGAUGGGCCUGCGGGCCAUUAGCUUGUUGGUGAGGUAACGGCUCACCAAGGCUGUGAUGGCUAGCUGGUCUGAGAGGAUGACCAGCCACACUGGGACUGAGACACGGCCCAGACUCCUACGGGAGGCAGCAGUGGGAAUAUUGCGCAAUGGGCGAAAGCCUGACGCAGCGACGCCGCGUGGGUGAUGAAGGCCUUCGGUCGGUAACG
rnacentral:rRNA from 1 species